rnacentral:rRNA from 1 species
AAACCAACAGGGAUUGCCUCAGUAGCGGCGAGUGAAGCGGCAAGAGCUCAGAUUUGAAAUCGUGUUUCGGCACGAGUUGUAGAGUGUAGGCGGGAGUCUCUGUGGAGCGCGGUGUCCAAGUCCCUUGGAACAGGGUGCCUGAGAGGGUGAGAGCCCCGUGGGGUGCUGCGCGAAGCUUUGAGGCCCUGCUGACGAGUCGAGUUGUUUGGGAAUGCAGCUCUAAGCGGGUGGUAAAUUCCAUCUAAGGCUAAAUAUUGGCGAGAGACCGAUAGCGAACAAGUACUGUGAAGGAAAGAUGAAAAGCACUUUGAAAAGAGAGUGAAACAGCACGUGAAAUUGUUGAAAGGGAAGGGUAUUGGGCCCGACAUGGGGAGUGCGCACCGCUGUCUCUUGUAGGCGGCGCUCUGGGCGCUCUCUGGGCCAGCAUCGGUUCUUGCUGCGAGAGAAGUGGYGCCGGAAAGUGGCUCUUCGGAGUGUUAUAGCCGGUGCCGGAUGUCGCGUGCGGGGACCGAGGGCUGCGACAUCUGUCUCGGAUGCUGGCACAACGGCGCAAUACCGC